rfam:Bombyx mori DNA, contig: Bm_scaf5_contig5030, strain: p50T/Dazao, build 2, whole genome shotgun sequence.
AUACUUACCUGGCGUGGGGGAUACCGUGAUCAUGCAGGCGGUUCCCCCAGGGCAAGGCUGCUCCAUUGCACUGCGGAGUAGUUGACCCUUGCGGUUAGCUUUAUCAAUAAAAAAAAUUAGAAUAAAAAAUGUAUACACGAAUAAUUAUUUUCUUUAUAC